UACGUAGGGGGCAAGCGUUAUCCGGAAUCACUGGGCGUAAAGAGCUCGUAGGUGAAAUGCAAGUUAUUGAAUAAAGCCCAAUGCUUAACAUUGGUUAAUUUGGUAAUACUGCAUAUCUUGAGGACAGAAGGGGAAACUGGAAUUCCAAGUGUAGCGGUGAAAUGCGUAGAGAUUUGGAAGAACAUCGGUGGCGAAGGCGUGUUUCUGGUCUGUAUCUGACACUGAGGAGCGAAAGUUAGGGUAGCGAACG
rnacentral:rRNA from 1 species